rnacentral:rRNA from 1 species
GACGAACGCUGGCGGCGUGCCUAAUACAUGCAAGUAGAACGCUGAAGCGAGGAGCUUACUCUUCUUGGAUGAGUUACGAACGGGUGAGUAACGCGUAGGUAACCUGCCUUGUAGCGGGGGAUAACUAUUGGAAACGAUAGCUAAUACCGCAUAACAAUGGAUGACACAUGUCAUUUAUUUGAAAGGGGCAAUUGCUCCACUACAAGAUGGACCUGCGUUGUAUUAGCUAGUAGGUGAGGUAAUGGCUCACCUAGGCGACGAUACAUAGCCGACCUGAGAGGGGGAUCGGCCACACUGGGACUGAGACACGGCCCAGACUCCUACGGGAGGCAGCAGUAGGGAAUCUUCGGCAAUAGGGGCAACCCUGACCGAGCAACGCCGCGUGAGUGAAGAAGGUUGUCGGAUCGUAAAGCUCUGUUGUAAGUCAAGAACGGGUGUGAGAGUGGAAAGUUCACACUGUGACGGUAGCUUACCAGAAAGGGACGGCUAACUACGUG